AAUGAACGCUGGCGGCAGGCCUAACACAUGCAAGUCGAACGAGUGGCGGACGGGUGAGUAAUGACUGGGAAACUGCCCGAUGGCGGGGGAUAACUACUGGAAACGGUAGCUAAUACCGCAUACCAUCGGAUGUGCCCAGAUGGGAUGAGCUAGUAGGUGGGGUAACGGGUCACCUAGGCGACGAUCCCUAGCUGGUCGGAGGGGAUGACCGGCCACACUGGAGCUGAGACACGGUCCAGCAGCCUACGGAAGGCAGAAGUGGGUAAUAUGGCACAAUGGGCGCAAGCCUGAUGCAGCCAUGCCGCGGGUAUGAAGAAGGCCUUCGGGUUGUAAAGUACUUUCAGCGAUGAGGCGUUACUCGCAGAAGAAGCACCGGCUAACUCCGUGCGAGCAGCCGCGGUAAUAC
rnacentral:rRNA from 1 species